GGCGGUAUGCUUAACACAUGCAAGUCGAACGGAGUACUUCGGUACUUAGUGGCGGACGGGUGAGUAACGCGUGAGAAUCUACCUUUAGGACGGGGACAACAAUUGGAAACGAUUGCUAAUACCCGAUAUGCCCUUCGGGGUGAAAUGUUUUAUCGCCUGAAGAUGAGCUCGCGUCCGAUUAGCUAGUAGGUAGUGUAAUGGACUACCUAGGCGAUGAUCGGUAGCUGGUUUGAGAGGACAAUCAGCCACACUGGGACUGAGACACGGCCCAGACUCCUACGGGAGGCAGCAGUGGGGAAUUUUCCGCAAUGGGCGCAAGCCUGACGGAGCAAUACCGCGUGGGGGAGGAAGGUCUGUGGAUUGUAAACCCCUUUUCUCAGGGAAGAAGCUCUGACGGUACCUGAGGAAUCAGCAUCGGCUAACUCCGUGCCAGCAGCCGCGGUAAUACGGAGGAUGCAAGCGUUAUCCGGAAUUAUUGGGCGUAAAGCGUCCGCAGGCGGCUAGAUAAGUCUGCUUUCAAAGAGUGGGGCUCAACCCCAUAGGGGGAGUGGAAACUGUUUAGCUAGAGUAUGGUAGGGGCAGAGGGAAUUCCCAGUGUAGCGGUGAAAUGCGUAGAUAUUGGGAAGAACACCAGUGGCGAAGGCGCUCUGCUGGACCGAGACUGACGCUGAGGGACGAAAGCUAGGGGAGCGAAAGGGAUUAGAUACCCCUGUAGUCCUAGCUGUAAACGAUGGACACUAGGUGUUGCGCGUAUCGACCCGUGCAGUGCCGUAGCUAACGCGUUAAGUGUCCCGCCUGGGGAGUACGCACGCAAGUGUGAAACUCAAAGGAAUUGACGGGGGCCCGCACAAGCGGUGGAGUAUGUGGUUUAAUUCGAUGCAACGCGAAGAACCUUACCAGGGUUUGACAUCCCUCGAAUCUCUGCGAAAGUGGAGAGUGCCUUCGGGAGCGAGGAGACAGGUGGUGCAUGGCUGUCGUCAGCUCGUGUCGUGAGAUGUUGGGUUAAGUCCCGCAACGAGCGCAACCCACGUUUUCAGUUGCCAGCAUUAAGUUGGGGACUCUGGAGAGACUGCCGGUGACAAACCGGAGGAAGGUGUGGACGACGUCAAGUCAUCAUGCCCCUUACAUCCUGGGCUACACACGUACUACAAUGGUUAGGACAAAGGGCAGCGAAGCCGCGAGGUGGAGCAAAACUCAUAAACCUAGCCUCAGUUCAGAUUGCAGGCUGCAACUCGCCUGCAUGAAGGAGGAAUCGCUAGUAAUCGCAGGUCAGCAUACUGCGGUGAAUACGUUCCCGGGCCUUGUACACACCGCCCGUCACACCAUGGGAGUUGGCCACGCCCGAAGUCGUUACCCUAACCGUUCGCGGAGGGGGACGCCGAAGGUGGGGCUGAUGACUGGGGUGAAGUCGUAACAAGGUAGCCGUACCGGAAGGUGUGGCUGGAUCACCUCCUUAAGGGAGACCUUACCCACUUUCAGCCGAAAGCACAAAGCGAUUAAGCGAAAGUCUGGUCAACCGAGGUCGUUCGAGGAAUUGAUGAGGCUUCCAGACUAGAGUCUAGUUCUUUUACAGGCCAAGCCGCUCGUCCAGGCUGAGUCUGUAAAGAGUAGAGACUGUUGAUAAGGCAGUGGGCUAUUAGCUCAGGUGGUUAGAGCGCACCCCUGAUAAGGGUGAGGUCCCUGGUUCGAGUCCAGGAUGGCCCACCUUCACAGUAGAUGCAUCAGCACCUAUCACCAAACCUUUCAACAAAACGAGCAUCUCAGCACCCACAAGCAAGAAACAGUUCUUUCUGCUUAGGACUGCUGAGCCUAGCUCAGCGAGAACCUUGAAAACUGCAUAACAAAAGCCAAGAAAUCUAAAGAGUCUGGAGUAGUCCAGGUUUUCAUGCCGAGGCUGAGGAGCUGAGCGAUCAGCGACGAGGCUAGAGGUAUGGGAGCUUGAAUUCCUAGACGUCGAGCAAGAAAAGCGAAAGUUGGUCAAGCUACAAAGGGCUUACGGUGGAUACCUAGGCACGUAGAGGCGAAGAAGGACGUGGUUACCGACGAAACGCUCCGGGGAGCUGGAAACGAGCAUUGAUCCGGAGGUGUCCGAAUGGGGCAACCCUAAACACGACUUGCUGAAUCCAUAGGCAAGAGCGAGCGAACCCGGCGAACUGAAACAUCUUAGUAGCCGGAGGAAGAGAAAGCAAAAGCGAUUCCCUCAGUAGCGGCGAGCGAACGGGGACCAGCCUAAACCAGUGGUUUUAACCACUGGGGUUGUGGGACAGCGGAAAGGACUUGGCGGAUUAAGCGAAAUAGCUGAGAACUAUGCCAAAGAAGGUGAAAGCCCUGUAGUUGAAAAUCCAAAGAGCCUGGCUGAAUCCCGAGUAGGUCGGGGCACGUGAAAUCCCGAUUGAAUCCGCGAGGACCACCUCGUAAGGCUAAAUACUCCUACGUGACCGAUAGCGAACAAGUACCGCGAGGGAAAGGUGAAAAGAACCCCGGGAGGGGAGUGAAAUAGACCAUGAAACCGUAAG
rnacentral:rRNA from 1 species